rnacentral:rRNA from 1 species
UGGGGAAUAUUGCACAAUGGGCGCAAGCCUGAUGCAGCCAUGCCGCGUGUGUGAAGAAGGCCUUCGGGUUGUAAAGCACUUUCAGCGGGGAGGAAGGCGUUAAGGUUAAUAACCUUGGCGAUUGACGUUACCCGCAGAAGAAGCACCGGCUAACUCCGUGCCAGCAGCCGCGGUAAUACGGAGGGUGCAAGCGUGAAUCGGAAUUACGGGGCGUAAAGCGCACGCAGGCGGUCUGUGAAGUCGGAUGUGAAAUCCCCGGGCUCAACCUGGGAACUGCAUUCGAAACUGGCAGGCUAGAGUCUUGUAGAGGGGGGUAGAAAUCCAGGUGUAGCGGUGAAAUGCGUAGAGAUCUGGAGGAAUACCGGUGGCGAAGGCGGCCCCCUGGACCAAGACUGACGCUCAGGUGCGCAAGCGUGGGGCGCAAACAGG